CUCAUGACUCGGCGAGCGCAGCAUUCGUGAGGUGACUUGCAAGGCUGGACAUUGCUUGGAUGUCAGACUACCGCUACCUCCGCCGCCGCUGCCUCCUCCACUGCCACCGCUGCUACUACAGCAUUGCGCGCACAUAACCAGUGGUUACAGUGGCGAAUUUAUGUCAUCCUGAGCGUCCAACGUUUCUUCUCCGUUUUCAAUGCGAUGACUAUACGUGAUAUACAUGAUAUUUUAGAGAUAGAAAGAUUAAUCAGGUAAAAAAAAAAUUAAUUCUUAAGUGUGAAAAAAAAACUUGUCAACAAAGUUUAACUUAAGAUUUCUGUUCUAUUGAUGUUCUCGAUUAUAAUUGAUUAUAACGUUAGAAGAAAAAAUAUUACAAAUUUUUUUCGGCAUCUUACACAAAUAAAUCAGUUUCUCGCAUAUAUGUAAGAGAGUAGAGAUAGAUAAAAUAUAAAACUCCCUUUAAAAUUUUCAUCAAUAAAUAAUCAUACUGUACAUAUUUUAUAUUAUAGAGUUAAUUUUAUGAUAAUUGUGCUUAAAAGUUACAAUUAUUAACUUACGAAUCGAAAAAAAAAUUGUAUUGGCAGAUAUCGCAAACUUAUUCCAUUAAACAUGAAUAAAAAAAAA